rnacentral:rRNA from 1 species
CGGUGAAGCAAGCUUGCUUGGUGGAUCAGUGGCGAACGGGUGAGUAACACGUGAGCAACCUGCCCUGGACUCUGGGAUAAGCGCUUGAAACGGCGUCUAAUACUGGAUAUGAGCUCCUAUCGCAUGGUGGGGGUUGGAAAGAUUUUUCGGUCUGGGAUGGGCUCGCGGCCUAUCAGCUUGUUGGUGAGGUAAUGGCUCACCAAGGCGUCGACGGGUAGCCGGCCUGAGAGGGUGACCGGCCACACUGCGACUGAGACACGCCCCAGACUCCUACGGGAGGCAGCAGUGGGGAAUAUUGCACAAUGGGCGGAAGCCUGAUGCAGCAACGCCGCGUGAGGGAUGACGGCCUUCGGGUUGUAAACCUCUUUUAGCAGGGAAGAAGCGAGAGUGACGGUACCUGCAGAAAAAGCGCCGGCUAACUACGUGCCAGCAGCCGCGGUAAUACGUAGGGCGCAAGCGUUAUCCGGAAUUAUUGGGCGUAAAGAGCUCGUAGGCGGUUUGUCGCGUCUGCUGUGAAAUCCCGAGGCUCAACCUCGGGCCUGCAGUGGGUACGGGCAGACUAGAGUGCGGUAGGGGAGAUUGGAAUUCCUGGUGUAGCGGUGGAAUGCGCAGAUAUCAGGAGGAACACCGAUGGCGAAGGCAGAUCUCUGGGCCGUAACUGACGCUGAGGAGCGAAAGGGUGGGGAGCAAACAGGCUUAGAUACCCUGGUAGUCCACCCCGUAAACGUUGGGAACUAGUUGUGGGGACCAUUCCACGGUUUCCGUGACGCAGCUAACGCAUUAAGUUCCCCGCCUGGGGAGUACGGCCGCAAGGCUAAAACUCAAAGGAAUUGACGGGGACCCGCACAAGCGGCGGAGCAUGCGGAUUAAUUCGAUGCAACGCGAAGAACCUUACCAAGGCUUGACAUAUACGAGAACGGGCCAGAAAUGGUCAACUCUUUGGACACUCGUAAACAGGUGGUGCAUGGUUGUCGUCAGCUCGUGUCCUGAGAUGUUGGGGUUAAGUCCCGCAACGAGCGCAACCCUCGUUCUAUGUUGCCAGCACGUAAUGGGGGGGAACUCAUGGGAUAAUUGCCGGGGUCAACUCCGAAGA